CUACGGGUGGCACCAGUGGGGAAUAUUGCACAAUGGGCGCAAGCCUGGUGCAGCAACGCCGCGUGGGGGACGAAGGCCUUCGGGUUGUAAACCUCUUUUAGUAGGGAAGAAGCGCAAGUGACGGUACCUACAGAAAAAGCACCGGCUAACUACGUGCCAGCAGCCGCGGUAAUACGUAGGGUGCAAGCGUUGUCCGGAAUUAUUGGGCGUAAAGAGCUCGUAGGCGGUUUGUCGCGUCUGCUGUGAAAAUCCGAGGCUCAACCUCGGACCUGCAGUGGGUUCGGGCAAACUAGAGUGCGGUAGGGGAGAUUGGCAUUCCUGGUGUAGCGGUGGAAUGCGCAGAUAUCAGGAGGAACACCAGUGGCGAAGGCAGAUCUCUGGGCCGUAACUGACGCUGAGGAGCGAAAGCGUGGGGAGCGAACAGGAUUAGAUACCCCAGUAGUC
rnacentral:rRNA from 1 species